UACGGAGGGUGCAAGCGUUAUCCGGAUUCACUGGGUUUAAAGGGUGCGUAGGAGGGCAGGUAAGUCAGUGGUGAAAUCUCCGAGCUUAACUUGGAACUGCCGUUGAUACUAUCUGUCUUGAAUAUUGUGGAGGUAAGCGGAAUAUGUCAUGUAGCGGUGAAAUGCUUAGAUAUGACAUAGAACACCGAUAGCGAAGGCAGCUUGCUACACAAUUAUUGACACUGAGGCUCGAAAGCGUGGGGAAUCAAACAGGG
rnacentral:rRNA from 1 species